CAGGAACGGAGUUUCAAUCUGUAAUUCAAUAGUUGUUGUUUGUUUCUGUAUUUGUUUGUCGUAUAGUGUUUUGUAAAUCAAUGGUUUUCUCGUUUGAAUAGUUUUAUCAUUAUGUUAAAUGGUGUCGGCGUUUGCUACAUGUGGAAGUGCACACAUUUACGACAUGUUAUUGCUUAAACGCACAGUUUCUUCUUCCCGCUAAUAAUAUAUAGUCACCAUUUGCACUUAUAUGCGAAUGGCCGAUUGACAGUCGCUCCAAAAUAUUUUGCAACAUUUCAGUUAAAAAAAAA
rnacentral:lncRNA from 1 species